rnacentral:rRNA from 1 species
UACGUAGGGUGCGAGCGUUGUCCGGAAUUAUUGGGCGUAAAGAGCUCGUAGGCGGUGUGUCACGUCGGUCGUGAAAACCUGGGGCUUAACUCUGGGCUUGCGGUCGAUACGGGCAUCACUUGAGUUCGGCAGGGGAGACUGGAAUUCCUGGUGUAGCGGUGAAAUGCGCAGAUAUCAGGAGGAACACCGGUGGCGAAGGCGGGUCUCUGGGCCGAUACUGACGCUGAGGAGCGAAAGCGUGGGGAGCGAACAGG